rnacentral:rRNA from 1 species
AGUGAACGCUGGCGGUAGGCCUAACACAUGCAAGUCGAACGGCAGCACAGUAAGAGCUUGCUCUUACGGGUGGCGAGUGGCGGACGGGUGAGGAAUACAUCGGAAUCUACUUUUUCGUGGGGGAUAACGUAGGGAAACUUACGCUACUACCGCAUACGACCUACGGGUGAAAGCAGGGGCUCUUCGGACCUUGCGCGAUUGUAUGAGCCGAGGUCGGAUUAGCUAGUUGGCGGGGUAAAGGCCCACUAAGGCGACGAUCCGUAGCUGGUCUGAGAGGAUGAUCAGCCACACUGGAACUGAGACACGGUCCAGACUCCUACGGGAGGCAGCAGUGGGGAAUAUUGGACAAUGGGCGCAAGCCUGAUCCAGCCAUACCGCGUGGGUGAAGAAGGCCUUCGGGUUGUAAAGCCCUUUUGUUGGGAAAGAAAAGCAGCAGGUUAAUACCCCGCUGUUCUGACGGUACCCAAAGAAUAAGCACCGGCUAACUUCGUG